AACGGGUGGUAAUGCCGGAUGCUCCGACUCCUCGCAUGGGGUGUCGGGAAAGAUUUCAUCGGUAUGGGAUGGGGUCGCGUCCUAUCAGGUAGUCGGCGGGGUAACGGCCCACCGAGCCUACGACGGGUAGCCGGCCUGAGAGGGCGACCGGCCACAUUGGGACUGAGAUACGGCCCAGACUCCUACGGGAGGCAGCAGUGGGGAAUAUUGCACAAUGGGCGCAAGCCUGAUGCAGCGACGCCGCGUGCGGGAUGACGGCCUUCGGGUUGUAAACCGCUUUUGAUCGGGAGCAAGCCUUCGGGUGAGUGUACCUUUCGAAUAAGCACCGGCUAACUACGUGCCAGCAGCCGCGGUAAUACGUAGGGUGCAAGCGUUAUCCGGAAUUAUUGGGCGUAAAGGGCUCGUAGGCGGUUCGUCGCGUCCGGUGUGAAAGUCCAUCGCUUAACGGUGGAUCUGCGCCGGGUACGGGCGGGCUGGAGUGCGGUAGGGGAGACUGGAAUUCCCGGUGUAACGGUGGAAUGUGUAGAUAUCGAAAA
rnacentral:rRNA from 1 species